GGACGCAGUGGUGCAGGGAUGCUGUCUCUAUGGGGUGCAGUGGGGAAGCAUUGGGUGCAAGGAUGCUGGCACCUUGGGGAUGCAAUGGGGAUGCAGUGGUGCAGGAAUGCAGGCACCAUGGGGAUGCAAUGGGGAUGCAUUGCUGCAGGGAUGCAGGCACCAUGGGGAUGAAAUAGGGAUGCAAUGGGGAUGCAUUGCUGCAGGGAUGCAGGCACCAUGGGGAUGCAAUGGGGGUGCAUUGGUGCAGGGAUGCAGGCACCAUGGGGAUGCAAUGGGGAUGUAAUGGGGAUGCAUUGCUGCAGGGAUGCAGGCACCAACAGCGGUGCCUGGCCCUGCUGCUGCUGCAGGACCCCCGAGACCCCCCUCCGUGCUCCCAUUUUUUGCACGCACGGAGCGGCCUCCAUGCAGCUCCCAUGCGCUGCGCUCCCCUCCCUCCUGGAGCAGCACUUUGGGACCCAACCCACAACCGACCCGUGUGGGGGCCAGCAGUGGUGGGAUUUUCCCCGGGGUUGGGGCUGCCACGCUGCUCCCCCUGCAGACCUGGAGGCGCUGCUGGCCGACCUGAGCUCCUUCCUGCUCCUCCUCGACCGGGAGAACCUCAGCGCCGCAGCCCGAGCCAAGAAGCAGUCGGUGGGAGAGCUGCUGCAACGGCUGCAGGGCCCGGCAGCAGCAGCAGCAGCAGAGGAUGCGGAGUACAUGAUGAUGCGCUGCCUCUCGCCUUCCUCGGGGACCCGGCAGUGCCGGGGUGGUGCAGGAGCUGCAGUGAUGGAUGCAAGAGGAGGGAGAGCGUGUGAGCGUCUCCAGGGCAGCACCCAGAGCUCACAGAGAAAGGCACGGGGCUCCUCGCCCCCCCCGCCACCCGAGGGUUCCUACGAAGA
rnacentral:lncRNA from 1 species